rnacentral:ncRNA from 2 species
AGCUCAAGCUAGGGGUGCCUAAAGUGGCAGGCUGAGAUUAGACCCUUAGAACCUGAGACCGGGUCAUACCGGCGGAGGGAAGCUUUUACUUUGAGGA